CCGGAAAGCUAUCCAAACUCGGUCAUUUAGAGGAAGUAAAAGUCGUAACAAGGUCUCCGUUGGUGAACCAGCGGAGGGAUCAUUACAGAGUUGCAAAACUCCCUAAACCAUUGUGAACGUUACCUAAACCGUUGCUUCGGCGGGCGGCCCCGGGGUUUACCCCCCGGGCGCCCCUGGGCCCCACCGCGGGCGCCCGCCGGAGGUCACCAAACUCUUGAUAAUUUAUGGCCUCUCUGAGUCUUCUGUACUGAAUAAGUCAAAACUUUCAACAACGGAUCUCUUGGUUCUGGCAUCGAUGAAGAACGCAGCGAAAUGCGAUAAGUAAUGUGAAUUGCAGAAUUCAGUGAAUCAUCGAAUCUUUGAACGCACAUUGCGCCCGCCAGUAUUCUGGCGGGCAUGCCUGUUCGAGCGUCAUUUCAACCAUCAAGCCCCGGGCUUGUGUUGGGGACCUGCGGCUGCCGCAGGCCCUGAAAAGCAGUGGCGGGCUCGCUGUCACACCGAGCGUAGUAGCAUACAUCUCGCUCUGGGCGUGCUGCGGGUUCCGGCCGUUAAACCACCUUUUAACCCAAGGUUGACCUCGGAUCAGGUAGGAAGACCCGCUGAACUUAAGCAUAUCAAUAAGCGGAGGAAAAGAAACCAACAGGGAUUGCCCUAGUAACGGCGAGUGAAGCGGCAACAGCUCAAAUUUG
rnacentral:rRNA from 1 species